AAGGUAGCGAAAUUCCUUGUCGGGUAAGUUCCGACCUGCACGAAUGGCGUAAUGAUGGCCAGGCUGUCUCCACCCGAGACUCAGUGAAAUUGAACUCGCUGUGAAGAUGCAGUGUACCCGCGGCAAGACGGAAAGACCCCGUGAACCUUUACUAUAGCUUGACACUGAACAUUGAGCCUUGAUGUGUAGGAUAGGUGGGAGGCUUUGAAGCGUGGACGCCAGUCUGCGUGGAGCCGACCUUGAAAUACCACCCUUUAAUGUUUGAUGUUCUAACGUGGACCCGUUACCCGGGUUGCGGACAGUGUCUGGUGGGUAGUUUGACUGGGGCGGUCUCCUCCUAAAGAGUAACGGAGGAGCACGAAGGUUGGCUAAUCCUGGUCGGACAUCAGGAGGUUAGUGCAAUGGCAUAAGCCAGCUUGACUGCGAGCGUGACGGCGCGAGCAGGUGCGAAAGCAGGUCAUAGUGAUCCGGUGGUUCUGAAUGGAAGGGCCAUCGCUCAACGGAUAAAAGGUACUCCGGGGAUAACAGGCUGAUACCGCCCAAGAGUUCAUAUCGACGGCGGUGUUUGGCACCUCGAUGUCGGCUCAUCACAUCCUGGGGCUGAAGUAGGUCCCAAGGGUAUGGCUGUUCGCCAUUUAAAGUGGUACGCGAGCUGGGUUUAGAACGUCGUGAGACAGUUCGGUCCCUAUCUGCCGUGGGCGCUGGAGAACUGAGGGGGGCUGCUCCUAGUACGAGAGGACCGGAGUGGACGCAUCACUGGUGUUCGGGUUGUCAUGCCAAUGGCACUGCCCGGUAGCUAAAUGCGGAAGAGAUAAGUGCUGAAAGCAUCUAAGCACGAAACUUGCCCCGA
rnacentral:rRNA from 1 species